GGGGAAUAUUGCACAAUGGGCGAAAGCCUGAUGCAGCGACGCCGCGUGAGGGAUGGAGGCCUUCGGGUUGUAAACCUCUUUCGCUCAUGGUCAAGCCGCAACAGUGGUUGUGGUGAGGGUAGUGGGUAAAGAAGCGCCGGCUAACUACGUGCCAGCAGCCGCGGUAAUACGUAGGGCGCGAGCGUUGUCCGGAAUUAUUGGGCGUAAAGGGCUUGUAGGCGGUUGGUCGCGUCUGCCGUGAAAUCCUCUGGCUUAACUGGGGGCGUGCGGUGGGUACGGGCUGACUUGAGUGCGGUAGGGGAGACUGGAACUCCUGGUGUAGCGGUGGAAUGCGCAGAUAUCAGGAAGAACACCGGUGGCGAAGGCGGGUCUCUGGGCCGUUACUGACGCUGAGGAGCGAAAGCGUGGGGAGCGAACAGGAUUAGAUACCCUGGUAGUCCACGCUGUAAACGUUGGGCACUAGGUGUGGGGGCCACCCGUGGUUUCUGCGCCGUAGCUAACGCUUUAAGUGCCCCGCCUGGGGAGUACGGCCGCAAGGCUA
rnacentral:rRNA from 1 species